UCUCCCUUGGGCCUUUACGUCUCUUUCCUUUUGAGUGAACCGUCCAUCGUGUGCAAUGCGUACGUGUGUGCAGAUGGAAACGAUGAAGAGUCGGGAAAGUUAACGAACUUGCAGACAAUGCUCCCACUGAGAAGCCAUGGACGGGGACAGGAAUCUGACUUAGUUUGUCUCCCCAAAUCUGACUUGAAGGUCCACACGCUUUUCUCCUUGCAGUGAGGGCUUAAGAGGUUUUCAUUAUGGCAAAUGAUAACAGGAGUAAGAAGACUGGUCUCACAGAUUAUUAAACGGAUUCAAAGGCAGGGGCUGAGUGGCUCGGUCAGUUAAGCAUCUAACUUUGGCUCAGGUCAUGAUCUCACGGUUCAUGGGACUGAGCUCCGCAGCCGCUCUUGGCUGAUAGCUCAGAGCCUGCUUUGGAUUAUCUCUCUCUCUGUCUCUCUGUCUCUCUCUCUCUCCGCCCCUCCCC